UGAGGUGGGCGGGUACUGUUAUUCUGAGCUCACUCCAGUCUCCAGACAACCUAACCCUGUAACACCCAGGCAUUUUAAAUGCAAGGCCAGGACGGGCAAAUCAAUUCACGAGCUUCCGCUAAGGAAGGGGUGUGGGGUAGAGUUCAUGGUUAAGACGUGUCGUUUUCUGCCUUUUAACACUUUACUAUGAGUGCUAUCUGUGCUAAGGUGAAAACGGACCAUAAAAGCUGAGCUACGCAAAUAUCCCCGAGAAGGGAUGGUUUCUGUAAAUACCACAAGCUCAUAAAAGCACCACCGAAAUGCGCCAGGCUGUGUCUCCUGCCGGGGGACACGCACCGUGACCGUGAAGCUGUGCAGUGUAAUCAUCAGCCGGCCAGCGGUGCUGAGAAGGGGGCUGGAGAGGCAGGGGUGUCCGGCCAGGCGCUGGAAUCCUAAAGUACAUCUUUGAAAACGGUCCAUGGACCCGUUUGGAGACGAGCCACAAAUGCCCACACGGGGAGCCUCGAAGAAACUACAGGAGUUUCACCACUGACUGUACAGGAGAACUUACAUAAAUCCAAUUAACUGUCCUCCAUUUAAAACCCACUCCCACUUCCCAGCUGCAUCUCCUGCUCUGCCGUUUUUAGGAGAUAACCUGGAAACCCAGGCAUGCCUACCAGCGAAUGUCCCGGAAAAUUAAAUGCCCGGUAGAACUGUGCCAUGCAGUACUCAUGGAUUCCACCUUUGACCCCUGUAGAGAAAUACUUCCCGCACAUUUCUAACUGGAUUUCUGACAACAAAAUCAUCGUCUAUUUUGACAAAUUUAAGUAAAACAGGGCCUCUUUCUUCUCCUCUCCAAACAAGAGCCACAACAUGUACCCGCGGGGUAUGCCGUCACAACUCUCAACACGGUGGGGAAGACAGACAGCGAGGGAGCAAACGAGAACAGGUAGUCACGGACAGCGGCAGGUGCCAUGGUGAAGUUCAGGCAGAAGAACGGGAAGGGAGGCCGGAGAAGGCUGCCGGUCUGUGCCGGGUGGUCAGCAAAGCAGUCUCUGAGUUGAGGACACCUGAGCGGAAGCUCGAACCCUGAGAAGGGGCCAGCCCUGCCAAACCUUCAGGGAAGAUUCCCAGGAGCACAAGCAACCUAGUCUCUGCUGGAACAUCUGAACUCUCCUCCCUCAGAGGGACACGCAAAGCCUCAGAGAGCCUCAAACAGAGUUGGUGGAAGGGCCCGAGCCCAGGUGAAGCACAGGGACUGUGUCCCCCGGACAAAGCCCUGGGAGGAGACGCCAAAGUCCCCCUUCCAAGCUUAAUGCACACGAUGCGGUUCCCUUCCAGGAAGGCUCAGCAGACGGCAGGCCGGGGAGAGCUCCCUGGAGACUCCCUGGCAGAUGGCAGGCUCCAGUGACGCAGGCCUGCGGCCGCGGAGACAGUUAGACUAGGGGUGGCCACGCAGCCACUGCACCCACUCCUGCACAGAGGUGGUGGGUCUCAGUCACCGACGUCCAGGGUCCGAGAGGGUCCUAACCACUAGGGCCUCUGAACGGGUCCCCCGCUGGCGCCAGCCGACCUCAGUGCCUCCCAAGGCCGCUGAAAAUGGCCUCCCCCCACCCACCCUCCGCCUGCGCUAAAGACCAAAACCACCUCCACAAGAUCCAAAGGCCGGCCACUGUCACCCAGAGAGAAACCACAGACCUGUGCUGGUCUGUACAGCACUUUAAAGGUUUGGGAUUCGAGGCGCCUGGGGGCUCAGUCGGGUAAGCGUCCGACUCUUGAUUUCGGCUCAGGUCGCAAUCUUGCGGUUCAGGAGUUCGAGCCCUGCUUCGGGCCCUAUGCAGAUAGCGCAGAGCCUGCUU